AUUGAACGCUGGCGGCAUGCCUUACACAUGCAAGUCGAACGGCAGCACGGGAGCAAUCCUGGUGGCGAGUGGCGAACGGGUGAGUAAAGUAUCGGAACGUGCCCAGUCGUGGGGGAUAACGUAGCGAAAGUUACGCUAAUACCGCAUACGAUCUAUGGAUGAAAGCGGGGGAUCGCAAGACCUCGCGCGAUUGGAGCGGCCGAUAUCAGAUUAGGUAGUUGGUGGGGUAAAGGCUCACCAAGCCGACGAUCUGUAGCUGGUCUGAGAGGACGACCAGCCACACUGGGACUGAGACACGGCCCAGACUCCUACGGGAGGCAGCAGUGAGGAAUUUUGGACAAUGGGCGCAAGCCUGAUCCAGCCAUGCCGCGUGCAGGAUGAAGGCCUUCGGGUUGUAAACUGCUUUUGUACGGAACGAAAAGGUUUGACUUAAUACGUUGGACUCAUGACGGUACCGUAAGAAUAAGCACCGGCUAACUACGUGCCAGCCGCCGCAGUA
rnacentral:rRNA from 1 species